rnacentral:misc_RNA from 1 species
UUUCCGUAGGUGAGCCUGCGGAAGGAUCAUUACUGAGUCGUCGACACGAGUUGUUGCUGGUCCUCGGAAGUGGUCACGUGCACGCUCUGUUUACACAUCCACUCACCCCUGUGCACCCUCUGUAGUUCUAUAGGCUGGGGGGCCCUGCCUCCCUUCCGUGGUUCUGCAUCUUUACACACACACUGUAAUAAAGUCUUAUGGUAUGCGCACCGCGUUUACCGCAAUACAAUACAACUUUCAGCAACGGAUCUCUUGGCUCUG